rnacentral:tRNA from 1 species
AGGGGUGUAGCUCAGCUGGUAGAGCAUCGGUCUCCAAAACCGAGGGUCGAGGGUUCGAAUCCUUUCGCCCCUGCCA